CGCGGGAUAGAGUAACUUGGUAACUCAUUAGGCUCAUGACCUAAAGCUGUAAGUUCAAUUCUUACUCCCGCUA
rnacentral:tRNA from 2 species